rnacentral:rRNA from 1 species
GACGAACGCUGGCGGCGUGCUUAACACAUGCAAGUCGAACGGAAAGGCCCUGCUUUUGUUGGGUGCUCGAGUGGCGAACGUGUGAGUAACACGUGAGUAACCUGCCCUUGACUUUGGGAUAACUUCAGGAAACUGGGGCUAAUACCGGAUAGGAGCUCCUGCUGCAUGGUGUGGGUUGGAAAGUUUCGGCGGUUGGGGAUGGACUCGCGGCUUAUCAGCUUGUUUGUGGGGUAGUGGCUUACCAAGGCUUUGACGGGUAGCCGGCCUGAGAGGGUGACCGGCAACAUUGGGACUGAGAUACGGCCCAGACUCCUACGGGAGGCAGCAGUGGGGAAUAUUGCAAAAUGGGAGGAAGCCUGAUGCAGCAACGCAGCGUGCGGGAUGACGGCCUUCGGGUUGUAAACCGCUUUCGCCUGUGACGAAGCGUGAGUGACGGUAAUGGGUAAAGAAGCACCGGCUAACUACGUG